rnacentral:rRNA from 1 species
UACGAAGGGGGCUAGCGUUUUUCGGAAUUACUGGGCGUAAAGCGCGCGUAGGCGGACCUGCAAGUCGGGGGUGAAAGCCCGAGGCUCAACCUCGGAACUGCCUUCGAUACUGCGGGUCUCGAGUCCGGGAGAGGUGAGUGGAAUUCCUAGUGUAGAGGUGAAAUUCGUAGAUAUUAGGAAGAACACCAGUGGCGAAGGCGGCUCACUGGUCCGGUACUGACGCUGAGGUGCGAAAGCGUGGGGAGCAAACAGG